CUGGACAAAGGACUUUCACAGGAGAUUGAAACCUGACGAUUUACUGUCAUCUGCACAUACAACUCCUUCUACAGUGUUGAAACGAGCUGCAGGCACAGGGCAGGUGACAGUAGCAGCUGGUGGAUUCCAGAAGAGUAACUUGGAAUGAAGGCUUGGGAGUAUGUGACAGGAAAAACAUGACAGGAGAGAGUGCAUAUCCCAAGAUCAGCUGAAAAAUAAAUGGACACAGAAUUUCUUUUAAGUUCCACUUUUAUUUUCUUG
rnacentral:lncRNA from 1 species